rnacentral:rRNA from 1 species
UACGAAGGGGGCUAGCGUUGUUCGGAAUUACUGGGCGUAAAGCGCACGUAGGCGGACAUUUAAGUCAGGGGUGAAAUCCCGGGGCUCAACCCCGGAACUGCCUUUGAUACUGGGUGUCUCGAGUCCGGAAGAGGUGAGUGGAAUUCCGAGUGUAGAGGUGAAAUUCGUAGAUAUUCGGAGGAACACCAGUGGCGAAGGCGGCUCACUGGUCCGGUACUGACGCUGAGGUGCGAAAGCGUGGGGAGCAAACAGG